ensembl:lncRNA
CAAUGGCAAGACUUGUGGCUGUCUAGCAAUGAUCAUCAACCAACUUGAAUGUCAGAGCAAAGGCAAAACACCCUCCAAAAUGAAGGGCUGGGCUGCCCCAGUGUCUUUCAGUAUCUUUACCGACUGCUUAACACCAUCGCCACUGUGCAGAAACACGAACCCGUCUGAAGGGUUCAUACACAUCUGAUCCAAAAUCUUGUUUAGGAGAUACACCAGUCCCCACCAGAGACUUAAUGGGCUGGAGUGCCCCCACAAGAAAAAAACUGCUGUUUCUGAGAGAUAAUGUGUAUUGUAAUGAAAAACUAGCAGACGCGAAAAACAAGUUUUCUGAUGAUCUUUAUCUUUGGGCACUGUAGAAAAGGACUGAAAUCUCGCAGUAGGAGGGGGACCUCUCUGGAUUGCUUCCUGCAUAGGGGUAACUACUGGGUGCUCUGUUUGUGAAGGUACUUUUAUGUGUCAACACAAACUCAUCUGCAAGAACUGCAGCUUCCUCAAGAGUGAGAUCCUUGUGCUCAUAAAAGUAGUGUAAAUGUAAUGCAACCCUUUCACGAAGGCAAUUUUUUUAACUGCUCGAGAAGUAUGAGUGUCUUCAAAUCCUCCAGUUUCUUGACCUCUUGAGAACCACACCACCGAUCAAAAAGAAAUGCUUGUUCCCUUGCGAACUCAACAUGACUUUGUAAGAUACCUGUUGUCUAUAUGCCUCUGGGACCAACUCAUAAGCCCAACGGAUAGCAGCUUCAACAGUGUGUCAUAAUCUGAACUCUGAUCAAGAGAUACAGCAGCGUAGACUUUGAUCUUUUCCCACCAGAACACUUUGGAGGAGCAGUGACUAAAUAUCCCGUGGCCAUUUUAGUGAUGUGGCAAUCCGCUCAGAGUCAAAUAAUCACCCAUCUCUUUUUUUGUAUAAAGACGGUACAGGACGGCUGUUGAGACCGAGAUCAAACUCUGUUGAGGGUUCAAGAUGGCGUGGCUGAAUUCGGAGUACUUCCAGAUCUAUCUCUCUUAAUCUGACAUUCUUGAUGUUUGGCUGCACACUCCUCUGGUCUUUCCCUGUGCUCUAACUCUCUAAUUUAUGUUGUGCCUUUAGUUCUAUCUCCCUCAGUUGCACAUCCCUCAGUUGCACAGGACUCACACCACUACUCGUAGCAUUGUUUUCAUCAACCAAAGCACUUGUUCCUCCACCAAAGCAGUACCAAUAAACUCUUUUGACUACUGCUUUUGGAUCACCAGAUACCACCUUGAUGUCGUAAUGCUGUUUUUUUUUAAAGGGGUGUUGUAAUGCUUUUAUUUUUAAUUUUUAAAGGGGUGUUGUAAUGCUUUUUUAAUUUUUUUAUUUAAGGGGUGGUGUAAUGUUUUUUUUUUUAAGGGGUGGUGUAAUGCUAUUUUUUUAAAGGGGUGGUGUAAUGCAAUUUUUUAUUUUUUAAAGGGGUGGUGUAAUGCUUUUUUUUUUUUAUUUAAGGGGUGGUGUAAUGCUAUUUUUAUUUUUUAAAGGGGUGGUGUAAUGCUUUUUUAUUUUUUAUUUAAGGGGUGGUGUAAUGCUAUUUUUUAUUUUUAAAGGGGUGGUGUAAUGCUUUUUUUUUAAAGGGGUGGUGUAAUGCUUUUUUAUUUUUUAAAGGGGGGUGGUGUAAUGCUUUUUUUUUUUAAAGGGGUGGUGUAAUGCUAUUUUUUAUUUUUUAAAGGGGUGGUGUAAUGCUUUUUUUUUUUUUAAAGGGGUGUCAAUGCUUUGCAAUGACGAGCAGAUUCACCAUUAUCUAGCAAUUCCCAUGUGGCGUUUUCCACCAAUUCAUCCAACUUGAAGUCCAAGGCUUUAUUUUAUUAGCCUGUGUGUUUAUGCAACUUUCAAAAUGAUUCCCCCAAUCUGAUAAUCCCUUUGGGUGGAUGACAGUGACAGAAACUCUACCACAAAAAUGUAUUUUGAACACUCAAAUAUCAGGGCACAGCUUCAGAGUAGGUGACUAGAGUGACUAGCAUACUCAUGGGAAACAAGAUCCUAGACGAGCCCCCAUUUUGUUAUGUUCCCCAGCAAGAAAAACGUUUUAAAAAUGUUGCUCAAAACAGAAGCGGGAACUAACAAAGAGUCACUGACAACAACCAAAACAAAACAGGGAUGGUUUUAGGAGGGGUUCUGAAAAACACUCAUGGAGGUGUCCACAGAAAGUUGACUAGCAACAACAACUGGGACCUAAAAGACACACAACAUGAGCACACACUAAAUUUGCCCAAGAUGAGGGAAAACAACAUAAAAACCCACACCAAACUUAAAGACAGGAAGCAAACCAAAAUGGUGGAGCAAAAACAAAAUCAGAUAAAGGAAUGGUUUUCUAGAAUUCAAAUUGGGCGAGCUAACUAAAGGUGUUGACCCUCCACAUCUCUCAAGGUAACUGGAGCACUGGGCCAGCCACUCUGAAAUAGCACCCGGUCCAGCACAGGUGAAGCACCUUCCCACUAACAAGAUGGCAACCUGCACAGGUGUAACACCUACUGACUAACGAGGUGACACCAAUCGGUGCACCCUACGUGCUAUAAAUCCAACGUUAAUGGGAAAACCAAAACCCGUAACACAGAGCUUGAAGAAAUUUUUAAAAGAAAAGUUUGCAAAUAUUGCUAAAUCUAAUAUUGUAUCCAGAAAGACUUACAGCUGUAAUCGCUGCCAAAUGAGAUUCUAACAUGUAUUGACUAAAGGGUAUGAAUAUAUAUAAA